rnacentral:rRNA from 1 species
CCGCGUGAGGGAUGACGGCCUUCGGGUUGUAAACCUCUUUCAGCAGGGACGAAACGAAAGUGACGGUACCUGCAUAAAAAGCACCGGCCAACUACGUGCCAGCAGCCGCGGUAAUACGUAGGGUGCGAGCGUUGUCCGGAAUUACUGGGCGUAAAGAGCUCGUAUGCGGUUUGUCGCGUCGUCUGUGAAAACCAGCAGCUCAACUGCUGGCUUGCAGGCGAUACAGGCAGACUUGAGUACUGCAGGGGAGACUGGAAUUCCUGGUGUAGCGGUGAAAUGCGCAGAUGUCAAGAGGAACACCGGUGGCGAAAGCGGGUCUCUGGGCAGUAACUGACGCUGAGGAGCGAAAGCGUGGGUAGCGAACAGGAUUAUAUACCCUGGUAGUCCACGCCCUAGACGGUGGGCGCUAGGUGUGGGUUUCCUUCCACGGGAUCCGUGCCUUAGUUAACGCAUUAAGCUCCCCGCCAGGGGAGUAGGGCCGCAAGGCUAAAACACUGAGGAUUUGACGGGGUCCCGCACAACCGCCGAAGCAGGUGAAUUAGUUCGAUGCAUCGC